rnacentral:rRNA from 1 species
CCUACGGGAGGCAGCAGUAGGGAAUCUUUCACAAUGGGCGAAAGCCUGAUGGAGCAACGCCGCGUGCAGGAUGAAGGCCUUCGGGUUGUAAACUGCUUUUAUAAGCGAGAAAUAUGAUGGUAACUUAUGAAUAAGGAUCGGCUAACUACGUGCCAGCAGCCGCGGUCAUACGUAGGAUCCGAGCAUUAUCCGGGGUGACUGGGUGUAAAGAGUUGCGUAGGUGGCAUAAUAAGUAGCUAGUGAAAUCUGGUGGCUCAACCAUUCAGACUAUUAGCUAAACUGUUAAGCUCGAGACCGAUAGGGGUAACUGGAAUUUCUAGUGUAGGAGUGAAAUCCGUAGAUAUUAGAAGGAACACCAAUAGCGUAGGCAGGUUGCUGGGACGGUUCUGACACUAAGGCACGAAAGCGUAGGGAGCAAACGGGAUUAGAUACCCCUGUAGUC